GAUUGAACGCUGGCGGUAUGCUUAACACAUGCAAAAUCGAACGGAAACGAUACUAGCUUGCUAGUAGGCGUCGAGUGGCGGACGGGUGAGUAACGCGUAGGAAUCUACCUGAUAGUGGGGGAUAGCCCGAAGAAAUUCGGAUUAAUACCGCAUAAUCUAUUCGUAGUAAAGUGGGGGACUUUCGAGCCUCACGCUAUCAGAUGAGCCUGCGUAAGAUUAGCUAGUUGGUAGGGUAAAAGCCUACCAAGGCUACGAUCUUUAGCUGGUCUGAGAGGAUGAUCAGCCACAUCGGGAGUGAGACACGGCCCGAACUCCUAGGAGGAGGCAGCAGUGGGGAAUAUUGGACAAUGGGGGCAACCCUGAUCCAGCAAUACCGCGUGUGUGAAGAAGGCCUGAGGGUUGUAAAGCACUUUCAAUUGUGAAGAAAAGCUAGUGGUUAAUAGCCAUUAGCCUUGACGUUAACUUUAGAAGAAGCACCGGCUAACUCCGUGCCAGCAGCCGCGGUAAUACGGAGGGUGCAAGCGUUAAUCGGAAUUACUGGGCGUAAAGCGUGCGUAGGCGGUUUAUUAAGUCAGAUGUGAAAGCCCCGGGCUUAACCUGGGGAACUGCAUUUGAAACUGGUUAACUAGAGUAUGGGUAGAGGAAAGUGGAAUUUCUGGUGUAGCGGUGAAAUGCGUAGAUAUCAGAAGGAACAUCAAUGGCGAAAGGCAACUUUCUGGACCAAUACUGACGCUGAGGUACGAAAGCGUGGGUAGCAAACAGGAUUAGAUACCCUGGUAGUCCACGCCGUAAACGAUGACAACUAGCCGUUGGGAGGGUUUACCUCUUAGUGGCGAAGCUAACGCGUUAAGUUGUCCGCCUGGGGAGUACGGCCGCAAGGUUAAAACUCAAAGGAAUUGACGGGGACCCGCACAAGCGGUGGAGCAUGUGGUUUAAUUCGAUGCAACGCGAAGAACCUUACCUGGUCUUGACAUACACGGAACUUUCCAGAGAUGGAUUGGUGCCUUCGGGAACCGUGAUACAGGUGCUGCAUGGCUGUCGUCACCUCGUGUCGUGAGAUGUUGGGUUAACCCCCGUAACGAGCGCAACCCCUAUCCUUAUUUGCCAGCACGUCAUGGUGGGAACUAUAAGGAGACUGCCGGUGAUAAACCGGAGGAAGGCGGGGACGACGUCAAGUCAUCAUGGCCCUUACGACCAGGGCUACACACGUGCUACAAUGGGAAGGACAAAGGGUUGCUAAGCCGCGAGGUGGUGCUAAUCUCAUAAACCUUUUCGUAGUCCGGAUCGGAGUCUGCAACUCGACUCCGUGAAGUCGGAAUCGCUAGUAAUCGUGUGAUCAGAAUGCCACGGUGAAUACGUUCCCGGGCCU
rnacentral:rRNA from 1 species